AUACUUACCUGGCAGGGGAGAUACCAUGAUCACGAAGGUGGUUCUCCCAGGGCAGGGCUUAGCCACUGCACUCCGGAUGUGCUGACCCCUGUGAUUUCCCCAAAGGUGGGAAACUGGACUGCAUAAUUUGUGGUAGUAGGGGACUGUGUUCACACUCUUCCUUG
rnacentral:snRNA from 1 species